rnacentral:rRNA from 1 species
AACGCUAGCUACAGGCUUAACACAUGCAAGUCGAGGGGCAUCAGGGUAGCAAUACCGCUGGCGACCGGCGCACGGGUGAGUAACACGUAUCCAACCUACCGUUAACUCGGGGAUAGCCUUUCGAAAGAAAGAUUAAUACCCGAUAGUAUAUUGUCUUCGCAUGUUGAAAAUAUUAAAGAAUUUCGGUUAUCGAUGGGGAUGCGUUCCAUUAGGCAGUUGGCGGGGUAACGGCCCACCAAACCUACGAUGGAUAGGGGUUCUGAGAGGAAGGUCCCCCACAUUGGAACUGAGACACGGUCCAAACUCCUACGGGAGGCAGCAGUGAGGAAUAUUGGUCAAUGGACGCGAGUCUGAACCAGCCAAGUAGCGUGAAGGAUGACUGCCCUAUGGGUUGUAAACUUCUUUUAUAUGGGAAUAAAGUUCUCCACGUGUGGAGUUUUGUAUGUACCAUUAUGAAUAAGCAUCGGCUAACUCCGUGCCAGCAGCCGCGGUAAUACGGAGGAUGCGAGCGUUAUCCGGAUUUAUUGGGUUUAAAGGGAUCGUAGGUGGACUGGUAAGUCAGUUGUGAAAGUUUGCGGCUCAACCGUAAAAUUGCAGUUGAUACUGUCAGUCUUGAGUACAGUAGAGGUGGGCGGAAUUCGUGGUGUAGCGGUGAAAUGCUUAGAUAUCACGAAGAACUCCGAUUG